rnacentral:ncRNA from 1 species
GGCAUCAGCUCAGAGCUCUUAGAAUUUUGCUUGUACAAAAAAAAAGGAAAAAGCAGGGCAGUCUGUGCAGAUUCAGCCGUACUGAAAUCUUGGCAGCAGAGCUUUACAGUCAAAAGUUAGUUUCAAAGGAUAUGUUACAAUUGAGGUGUACAGCUCUGGGAAUGGGGGCUGUUUUUUCUCUUUGUAAACUUCCCUUUUGUAGAUACGGCUGCCAAUGAGGGGAAAGCAUCGUGAGCAGUGCAGAGUGAGAAAUAAGAUAUUCAGUUUUCAGAAGGUGAGAGGCAGGAAGCUUGUUAAUACCAUCAGGAAGAGUACAAGUGUGCUGCCACUUAAUGUGUUGAUGUGAGGCUGCGCACAGCCCACGCACAAAAGCUUGCCUGAUCUUGAUUUUCAGUAUAAAUACAGGCUGUGAAAGUGGGGCUCCAUGCUCCUUCUGACUUCCUGGGCUUUAAGCAGAAGGUGUCAGAGGAGUUACCAUAUGGAUAACUGGCCUAUGGUGGCCAAGCCUUCCUAGCGACAUCACUUUUUGGUCCUUUGAUUUCAGCUCUUCCUAUCACUGUGAAGCAGAAUUCACUUGGAGUUGGAUUGUUCACCCACUAAUAGGGAACUUGAGCUGGGAUUAGACUGUCAUGAGACAGGUUAGUUUUACCCUAUUGAUGUGUUAUUGU